AUGGUGCAAUCUGCAUGUGCUAAACAUGUGGUUUUUGGUAUCCCCACUCCACCAAACAGCGGUAGCGAGCUCUCCAGUUGCAAGAUGAUUUUUUCUGCCAUGCUUGAGAGCACGGCAGGCAGCAAGCGGUGCUCUCCUGAUGACCAAGACCUCGUGUUAAGCAUGAAUAGCACUAGUACUGAAAGUUUAGAGGUUAGGGGUGCUAUGGAUGUGAGUGUGAAUUGUAAAAGAGUGUGUGUUGAGAGAGUUGGUACUGUAGUAGGCAUAGAUGGGUCUACUAUUCAUACUGAAGAAGUAGAUGGGGGAGUGGAGGUGGAUCAGGACAAAAGAAGAGAGUCUGUAGGGGAUUGA
rnacentral:rRNA from 1 species